UACAGAGGGGGCAAGCGUUGUUCGGAAUUACUGGGCGUAAAGGGCGCGUAGGCGGCCUGCUAAGUCGAACGUGAAAUCCCCGGGCUCAACCCGGGAACUGCGUCCGAUACUGGUGGGCUUGAAUCCGGGAGAGGGAUGUGGAAUUCCAGGUGUAGCGGUGAAAUGCGUAGAUAUCUGGAGGAACACCGGUGGCGAAGGCGGCAUCCUGGACCGGUAUUGACGCUGAGGCGCGAAAGCGUGGGGAGCAAACAGG
rnacentral:rRNA from 1 species